rnacentral:miRNA from 1 species
UUAUCAAGUUGGUGAAAAGUAAUUGUGGUUUUGCAAUUACUUUUGAAGGCAAAAGCCACAUUUACUUUUGCACCAACCUAAAUAACU